rnacentral:misc_RNA from 1 species
AGAAAGAAGGAAAGGAGCGAGGGGCAAAUGAGUAAUAAGCAAAAAAGAAAAAGAAAAAAAGUAGAGAAAAAAUGAAGUAAAACUAGAGAAAGCGGCGAGUCAGCAACACCGUGCGUGAAUCGCGAAAACCCGGCACUCGACGGCGCAGCAGAGGCUGCUACUACUCAUAUGCUCUUCAAUCGGAGAAGACAGUAGUAGUAGAUUUUGUUACGGAGCUCGCCGGUGAAUCGAGGAAGUGAAAGCAACACCGAGUUCGAAGAUGUCAGACCUAGAUAGGCAAAUUGAGCAGCUCAAGAGAUGCGAGCCGUUAAAGGAAUCUGAAGUUAAGGCUCUUUGUAUGAAAGCUAUGGAAAUCCUUGUUGAAGAAAGCAAUGUGCAGAGAGUCGACGCGCCUGUCACUAUAUGUGGUGAUAUCCAUGGACAAUUUUAUGACAUGAAAGAGCUAUUUAAAGUGGGAGGUGAUUGCCCAAAGACAAAUUACUUGUUUCUCGGAGAUUUUGUUGAUAGAGGAUUUUACUCCGUUGAGACAUUUCUUCUUCUACUAGCUCUUAAGGUGAGAUAUCCCGAUCGGAUCACUCUUAUCAGAGGUAACCAUGAGAGCCGCCAGAUCACACAG